rnacentral:rRNA from 1 species
AGCAGCCGCGGUAAUUCCAGCUCCAAUAGCGUAUAUUAAAGUUGUUGCAGUUAAAAAGCUCGUAGUUGAAUUUCGGGAUCAAUAUACCGGUCGUGCCUCAGGUAUGAACUGGUCUUAUUGGUUUCUCCCUUCUGACGAACCAUGAUGUCAUUAAUUUGAUGUCGUGGAGAAUCAGGACUGUUACUUUGAAAAAUUAGAGUGUUUAAAGCAGGCUAACGCUUGAAUACAUUAGCAUGGAAUAAUGAAAUAGGACGUUCGAUCCUAUUUUGUUGGUUUCUAGGAUCGACGUAAUGAUUAAUAGGGAUAGUUGGGGGCAUUAGUAUUCAAUUGUCAGAGGUGAAAUUCUUGGAUUUAUUGAAGACUAACUACUGCGAAAGCAUUUGCCAAGGAUGUUUUCAUUAAUCAAGAACGAAAGUUAGGGGAUCGAAGACGAUCAGAUACCGUCGUAGU